AAGUCGUAACAAGGUUUCCGUAGGUGAACCUGCGGAAGGAUCAUUAUAGAGAACAUGCCCUUCGGGUAUAUCUCCCACCCUUUGUUUACAAUACUCGUUGCUUUGGCGGGCCUGUCUUUUGACUGCUGGCUCCGGCUGGCUAGUGCCCGCCAGGGGACCCCAAAAACUCUUUAUCAUGUUGUCUGAGUGUCAUACAAUAGUUAAAACUUUCAACAACGGAUCUCUUGGUUCUG
rnacentral:misc_RNA from 1 species